rnacentral:ncRNA from 1 species
CGGCGGGACACCCCUCCCCAACGAGGGGCGAUUAUCUGUAAGGAUACCAUGA